UACAAAACUUAAACAGUUUUCGUAAAUGCAUUUCAGAGAAAAGUGAAUUCUGAGAUUUGAAUAAUGCAUCUGACGUGUGUGUGAUGACGUCACGACGCACGUAUUUUGAUUUUUACCAGUCGUUCAAGGCGGACGGAUUCAGUCCCAAGAAGCUAAAGUUUUUCAAAGACAUUUGUAGGGAGGACUUUGCAGCUAAUGGAGCUGAAGUAUUUUAUGUAAGGAGGAUUUUGCAGCCCAUAUAGAUUUCCUUAGGCUGAACCAAAACCUGCCAGACUAAAGUUGAUUUGGGAGAGAAAGACGUUGUAAACUCAAUCAUCUUGACAUUCUUCAAUGAGUAAUUGUUCAAUUUUUAGGCAAAUACUGUACACUUUGAAAACUGUGAAUAAAACUAUAUUUUAAAUAUAUUUAAAAUGAAUUGUUUUUGACUGUUUUAAUCAGCUUUUAUUUAUUUGGAAAAAAUUAUUUUGGUUAUGUUACCAGCUAAAGUAAUCUAUUCCCAAAAUAGCACUCUUUAAGUUAACUAAUUAUUAACGCACUUGAAGUAUACUCAUUACUAAUCUAGCUGCAGGUAUGUAAAAGUAUA